rnacentral:tRNA from 1 species
UAGUAAAUAGUAUAGUAGGAAGUACACAGAGUUUUGAUCUCUGUAGGAUAGGUUCAAAUCCUAUUUUUCUAA